rnacentral:rRNA from 2 species
AACUUUCAACAACGGAUCUCUUGGUUCUGGCAUCGAUGAAGAACGCAGCGAAAUGCGAUAAGUAAUGUGAAUUGCAGAAUUCAGUGAAUCAUCGAAUCUUUGAACGCACAUUGCGCCCUGUGGUAUUCCGCAGGGGCAUGCCUGUUCGAGCGUCAUU